rnacentral:sRNA from 1 species
ACUUGCCUGGACGCUGCGCCACAUCCCACCGGCCCUUACACUGUGGUGUCCAGCAGCAUCCGGCUUCAUGGGGGGACUUGAACCCUGCAGCAGGCUCCUGCUCCUGCCUCUCCUGCUGGCUGUAGGUGGUCUCCGUCCUGUCCAGGCCCAGGCCCAGAGCGAUUGCAGUUGCUCUACGGUAAGCCCGGGCGUGCUGGCAGGGAUCGUGAUGGGAGACCUGGUGCUGACAGUGCUCAUUGCCCUGGCCGUGUACUUCCUGGGCCGGCUGGUCCAUCGGGGGCGAGGGGCUGCGGAGGGUGAGUGGGGCUAGCAGGGGACAUCCUGAGGACUUGCCUAGAUGGGGGUGGGGGCCUGGGUAAACUCUCAGAUCUCAAACAUCCAAAGGGAUGGAAAUGGAGGUGUUGAUUUGGAAUGACAAAACACCCUCAACUCACCACUCUGCCUGUCU